rnacentral:tRNA from 1 species
GCCUUCGUAGUGUAAUGGUCAGCACACUCGAUGCAUAUUCAAGAGGUCCGAGGUUCGAGUCCUCGCGAGGGCA